rnacentral:misc_RNA from 1 species
AGGUCCUCCAGGUCCAGGACCCCAACCAGGCCCUCCGGGUGCAGGUCCCCCUGGUCCACCAGGAUGCAUUUCCAAAUUCUUACGCUACUGAAAUAGAUUGUAAGUGCCAACCAAAAACAAAGGGUUCCUAAGCUUGGAACGCAGAUUUUUGGAAAAAUCAAGCAGACGAUCACCAAACUUAAGGAACUAGAAGUGUUUGCAAAGAAAUGUGAGAACAUUUAAUAAGAAAAAUGUGACCAACAUUUCCAAUUUUCAAAGGAAACCUAUCAUUCAAAACCUGCAAGACUACAACCACUCUUCUUCUUUCACCUACCUUCCAAAGCUAUGCUUGCACUGCAUCCAUCAUCCAGCCAUGGUGUUGGGACCUUCGAGCCCCCUGCUGUUAUCGUCCUGUGGGCUUGGCCCAAAUCUCUCUGUUGCAUAUUGGGCCAAGCCCACAGGAC